rnacentral:rRNA from 1 species
GACGAACGCUGGCGGCGUGCUUAACACAUGCAAGUCGAACGGAAAGGCCCUGCUUUUGUGGGGUGCUCGAGUGGCGAACGGGUGAGUAACACGUGAGUAACCUGCCCCUGACUUUGGGAUAACUUCAGGAAACUGGGGCUAAUACCGGAUAGGAGCUCCUGCUGCAUGGUGGGGGUUGGAAAGUUUCGGCGGUUGGGGAUGGACUCGCGGCUUAUCAGCUUGUUGGUGGGGUAGUGGCUUACCAAGGCUUUGACGGGUAGCCGGCCUGAGAGGGUGACCGGCCACAUUGGGACUGAGAUACGGCCCAGACUCCUACGGGAGGCAGCAGUGGGGAAUAUUGCACAAUGGGCGGAAGCCUGAUGCAGCAACGCCGCGUGCGGGAUGACGGCCUUCGGGUUGUAAACCGCUUUCGCCUGUGACGAAGCGUGAGUGACGGUAAUGGGGAAAGAAGCACCGGCUAACUACGU